AUGAUGAAAUCCUCAAGAGCUUUACUGGUGAUCCUGUGGCUUCAGUUAACGUGGAUGAGGAGCCAACAGAAGGGAGUGGAGCAGAGUCCUGCCUCUCUGCAUGUUCCAGAGGGAGCCGUCGCCUCUCUCAACUGCACUUAUAGUGACAGGGCUUCUGAUUACUUCUCAUGGUACAGACAGUACCCCAGCAAAGGCCCUGAGUUGCUCCUGUAUGGAAGCUUGAAUAAAGACAAAGAGGAAGGAAGAUAUACAGCCCAGGUCAAUAAAGCCAAGCAGUACGUCUCCCUGCUCAUGAGAGACUCCCAGCCCAGCGACUCAGCCACCUACCUCUGUGCACUCCUUUGGUCUUUCUCGAAAUACUACAUUCCCAUACUAGAACAUAGAGCAUGA